rnacentral:rRNA from 1 species
AACGAACGCAGGCGGCAGGCCUAACACAUGCAAGUCGAGCGAGGACUUCGGUCCUAGCGGCGGACGGGUGAGUAACGCGUGGGAACGUGCCCUUUGCUUCGGAAUAGCCCUGGGAAACUGGGAGUAAUACCGAAUGUGCCCUUUGGGGGAAAGAUUUAUCGGCAAAGGAUCGGCCCGCGUUGGAUUAGGUAGUUGGUGGGGUAACGGCCUACCAAGCCGACGAUCCAUAGCUGGUUUGAGAGGAUGAUCAGCCACACUGGGACUGAGACACGGCCCAGACUCCUACGGGAGGCAGCAGUGGGGAAUCUUAGACAAUGGGCGCAAGCCUGAUCUAGCCAUGCCGCGUGAGCGAUGAAGGCCUUAGGGUUGUAAAGCUCUUUCAGCGAGGAAGAUAAUGACUGUACUCGCAGAAGAAGCCCCGGCUAACUCCGUGCCAGCCGCCGCCGUAAAAC